rnacentral:rRNA from 1 species
CCGGCAACAGCUCGAAUUUGAAAUCUGGCCUCGGCCGGAGUUGUAAUCUGUAGAGGACGCUUUUGGCGCGGUGCCUUCCGAGUUCCCUGGAAGGGGACGCCACAGAGGGUGAGAGCCCCGUAAGGUCGGUCACCAAGCCUGUGUAAAGCCCCUUCGACGAGUCGAGUAGCUUGGGAUUGCUGCUCUAAGCGGGAGGUAUACUUGUUCUAAAGCUAAAUAUUGGCCAGAGACCGAUAGCGCACAAGUAGAGUGAUCGAAAGAUGAAAAGCACAUUGAAAUGAGGGUCAAAUAGUACGUGAAAUUGUUGUAAGGGAAGCGCUUGUGAUCAGACUCCCGCCGGGCGGAUCAUCCAGUGGUCUCCACUGGAGCACUUCGGCCCGCGCGGGCCAGCGUCGGCUGUUGCGGGGGGACAAAAGCUCUGGGAACGUAGCUCUCUGCGGGGAGUGUUAUAGCCCUCUGCAGAAUACCCCCGCGGCGGCCGAGGUCCGCGCAUUGCAAGGACGCUGGCGUAAUGGUCAUCAGCGACCCGUCUUGUAACACGGAGCAAGGAGUCGAGGAUUUGCGCGAGUGUUCGCGUGCAAAGCCCGAACGCGUAAUUAACGUGAACGUAGGUGAGAGCAUCGGCGCAUCAUCGACCGUUCCUGAUGUAUUCGGAUGGAUUUGAGUAGGAGCGUAAAGCCUCGGACCCGAAAGAUGGUGAACUAUGCCUGUAUAGGGUGUAGCCAGAGGAAACUCUGGUGGAGGCUCGCAGCGGUUCAGACGUGCAUAUCGAUCGUCAAAUAUGGGCAUGGGGCGAUUGAU